GACGAACGCUGGUGGCGUGCUUAACACAUGCAAGUCGAACGGUGAUGCCCAGCUUGCUGGGUGGAUCAGUGGCGAACGGGUGAGUAACACGUGAGUAACCUGCCCCUGACUCCGGGAUAAGCCUGGGAAACCGGGUCUAAUACCGGAUACGACCGCCGGCCGCAUGGCCUGGCGGUGGAAAGCUUUUUUGCGGUUUUGGAUGGACUCGCGGCCUAUCAGCUUGUUGGUGAGGAACGGCUCACCAAGGCGACGACGGGUAGCCGGCCUGAGAGGGUGACCGGCCACACUGGGACUGAGACACGGCCCAGACUCCUACGGGAGGCAGCAGUGGGGAAUAUUGCACAAUGGGCGCAAGCCUGAUGCAGCGACGCCGCGUGAGGGAUGACUGCCUUC
rnacentral:rRNA from 1 species